rnacentral:rRNA from 1 species
AAUCAACGCUGGCGGCGUGCCUCAGACAUGCAAGUCGAACGAUUAAGACUUCCUUCGGGAAGUGUAUAAAGUGGCGCACGGGUGAGUAACACGUAAGUAAUCUACCUUCGAGUGGGGAAUAACGUUCGGAAACGAACGCUAAUACCGCAUAAUGCAGCGGCAUCGCAAGAUGACAGUUGUUAAAGGAAUUUAUUUCGCUUGAAGAGGAGCUUGCGGCAGAUUAGCUAGUUGGUAAGGUAACGGCUUACCAAGGCUACGAUCUGUAUCCGGUCUAAGAGGACGGUCGGACACACUGACACUGAAUAACGGGUCAGACUCCUACGGGAGGCAGCAGUCGGGAAUUUUGGGCAAUGGGCGAAAGCCUGACCCAGCAACGCCGCGUGAAGGAUGAAGUAUUUCGGUAUGUAAACUUCGAAAGAAUGGGAAGAAUAAAUGACGGUACCAUUUAUAAGCUCCGGCUAACUACGUGCCAGCAGCCGCGGUAAU